UAUUCUCAAAUACCCCUUUAAUCUCAAAUACCCCUAUUCUCAAAUACCCCUAUUCUCAAAUAUCCCUUUAAUCUCAAAUACCUCUAAUCUCAAAUACCUUUAAUCUCAAAUACCUCUAAUCUCAAAUACCCCUAUUUUCAAAUACCCCUAAUCUCAAAUACCCAUAUUCUCAAAUACCCCUAUUCUCAAAUACCCCUAUUCUCAAAUACUCUUUAAUCUCAAAUACUCAUAUUCUCAAAUACCCAUUUAAUCUUAAAUACCCCUUUAAUCUCAAAUGCCCCUAUUCCCUUUAAUCUCAAAUACUCUAAUUCCCAAAUACCCCCUAUCCUCAAAUACCCCUCUAAUCUCAAAUACCCCUUAUUCUAAUCUCAAAUACCCUCUAUUCUCAAAUACUGUUUUUAAUCUCAAAUACCCCUUAUCUCAAAUACCCUUUAAUCCAAAAAUACCCCAUUAAUCUUAAAUACCCCCUUAAUCCCAUAUACCCCUUAAUCCAAUAUAUAUAUCCCUAAUCUCAAAUACCCUUUAAUCUCAAAUAUCUUUUAAUCCCAAAUACCACUAAUCUCAAAACCCCUUAAUCUCAAAUACACAUUAUUCUCAAAUACCCUCUAAUCUCUAAUACCCUUUAUCUCAAAUAUCCUUAAUCCCAAAUACCCAUAUUUUCAUAUACCACUUAAUCUUAAAUACCACUAAAUCAUAUCCAUAUUUUCAUAUACCACUUAAUCUUAAAUACCACUUAAUCAUAUCCAUAUUUUCAUAUACCACUUAAUCACAAAUACCCCUUAAUCCUAUAACACAUGGAUUUAAGGGUAUAAUAUGGGACUAAUUAUGGGACUUAUUAAACUAAAAAACGAACUUUGGGGUUUUUUAACGUAGUUUAAAACUCGUCUUGUUUUAAAAUUUUAUAUUUCUCGGAUACGAAAGUUUAUGCAGCUUCUUAAAAGGCCUUAAGAUUUUAAAAAGAUAAGAUUUAAAAAGGCUCGAAGGUUUUUCUAGUGACAACCUAAGUAAGAACAAUACUCGUAGUAUUGUUCCCUAAGUAAUAUAUAUGUAUAAUAUUUCAAAUUAUACCAACCUGGAUAUGGAGUUAGCCGUACGAGUCUGAUACUAGCCGUUGAAUCGUUGAACUUUCUCGUUUCAAGCCCAAAGUAAAUAGCGCCUAAUAGUUUCCCUCAACUCCGUCACAAACUGUCUUGAUUCAUUUCUCUCAUAUUUCGCGAUAAUUCCUCGGCAACUGAUCAUCUCGACUGCAAUUUACAAACAAAACCCCAAAACAUUAAAGUAAAUCGCAAAGCAAAAAACGAUGAACACGAGUGUAACGACCGUAACCCUGGGUUUAUAAUUAAAUAUAGGGUUUUUGAUUAGAAUGGUUACUUAUAUCACAAGAAAAGAGGAAUAAGGCACCUUAUCAUAUUGAUCACGUGCUCCAUAUCACCAACCCACACGAAACGUCAACAGCGUAGCAUCGAUGGCUCUCCGACAACAUGGAUCAACUACGGUGAAAAAGGGAUCACGGCGGCGUAGAUCGGUAACCGGUGGUGGUUGGUGGUGGCGAACGUCGCAAAGUUAAACGCUUUCCAAUCUAAAGAAGAUUGAAGAUCACUACAAAAAGUAAAUAAUGAACGGUUAAGGAAUCUUAAACCAUACUAAAACAAAACAGCAAAGAGGAUGAAGAAAGCAAACCGAUCGUUCAAUUUCACGCAAACCAUGAACAGGACAAGAACAGAAGAAAAACAAAUAUACGAUUUAGAGAUUUACAAUUUCUUUUCGGGGAGGAGCCGCGCCGGAAGGAGACUCGCCACGAAGAACCACCAUCCCUAAGAUUGCUCCGCGCGCCGUCGCGGAAUCCGUCGAAGAAGAAUCGGAAGAAGGAAACCUUUGCAAACUGACUAUUUCAAGAAUGUCGGCUUGUACAACUCAUCGAAGAACUGUGGUUAUCUCCCGAAUAUUCACCGAAAAAACCCUAAAACUAAAAGUAGUUUCUCUGCUUUUAUUUAUAUGUAUCGUCGUUAUCUUCAAGAAGAACACGAAUAGAAUUUUAAAAAGAAAGCAGCAACGGAUAUAUUUACAAUCGGACGGCCUUGUAUUAUCCACGUGUCCGACGCACACCAUUUAACUUCGUCCGCAAGGUUUUGUCUACCUAGCAGAUUUAAGUGGGUUUCAAAUGUAGGCCUAACAGAGUAUAAAACUUGGCCCAAUAAAACAAAAAAUUAAAGAAAGAGGAUUUAUGUUUUGUUAGUCUAAAGUUAUAUAUUGUGACGUAUCUAUACGUAUCAACCUCUCCAUAACCUUAGAUUUUUAUGCUUAUUUGUUAAUAUUUUUAUAAUUUUAUUUGUUUAUUUGAUUAUUUUGUUUAAUAUUUAUCUAUCUGUUUUAUAUAUAACAUAAAAUAUACAUUGAAUAAUGUUUAUCUUUUGCUUUAGCGUGCAUGACACCAAGAAUUGUUUAAGAUAAAUAUACAUUGAAUAAUGUUCUAGAUAAUAACACAAUGAAAACCAUAAUUCAUUACGUUGACAAUAUCUAAUAAUCGUAACCUGUUUGACCAAAAGCAUACUAUACCUAAUUUUAGCUAAUUUUGUUUAUUUGUCAUAUUCUUAUUAGUUUUUAGAUUAAAUCAUCAUUUUAUUAAUUUAAAUAAUAUAAAUAUUUUUAUUUUUAAUUAAUUUAUUAAUAUAAAUAAUAUAAAUAUUUCGAAAUUUCUAAUUGGAAUUAUGAUUAUAAUUAUUUUAAGUUUCACAAAAUUUUUAAUAGUUUUUAGCUUAAAUCAUUAAUUUAUUAAUUUAAAUAACAUUACUAUUUCAAACUUUCUAAUUGGAAUUACAAUUAUAAUUAUUUAAAAAAAGCUAGGACCAAUUCUUAUUUUCAUAUGAUAUGAUGUAAGAUGUUUUAAACUCUAUAGUUUCAAUUUUCUCAUUCAUUCAAAGUUGUCUCAAUUAUAGUUUUUGACAUCUAUAUUUAUGUACUUUUGAUAUUUUGUUUUUUAUAGUUGGAGUUCUAUGUUUUUUCUUGAAAUACUAGAAUAAAAUCGGUUUUGUUACAUGGAAUUUGGAAUUAUGAAUUAGGUAUUCUGAAUUAUUUCAAUAGUUAUUUCACGUGUAUGUUUUAUUACUGUUUAAUCUAUAAGAAAAAUAUGUUUUGAUAUUAAAUUUAGAGAAUUGUCUAUGUAAUUAUAUUAUGAACAUGUCUUUAAUGGUUUAGUUUCUAAAACGGCUAAAAGUAAAUAUAUUUUUAAUGAAUAAUUAGAUUUAUUAUUAUAUUAUUAACCAUAAAUUAACUUUAAUAAUAAAAAGUUAUUAUUAUCUAUUGUUUCUUUUAUUAAAGGUAAACUUAUGAAAUAUUAAGAUAAGUCGAUGUAUAUAUUGAUCAAGUAAACCAAUGAAAUAUUGUCAUUAUCUCAAUUCGUUUUUUUUAAUCUUCAAAAUUAUAAUCGAAAUUUAGUUUUUAUUUACUUAUUUUGUUCUUAUUUGGAUUUUGUGUGUUUUAAUACUUUUUUGGUAAGUUAAUUCAUAUUUAUGGUUCAAAAAUACAAAGUAGAUUAAGAGAGACCAAAAGUUCAUAUUCUUACUUUACUUUAUUGUGUGAAAUAUUUGAUAUGUAAUUAUGCUUUUUUCGCCUCACAGUUUUAUAGCUUUCUUUUAUGUUAAGAAGACGUAGAUCAAAAUAAAAAUCGAAGAGAAGUAAAAUGCUUGAAUCCAAUCGCAAUCGCUUCUCUCUUACCACCUGGUAUGUUGUCAGAUUUCGUCUUUGUUUUCUCUCGUGGCUGACUGAUGUGGGUUUGGUUUAUCUUAUUCUCGGCAGUCAGUUAAUACAGGUUGCAAUCUCUAAGGGGAUGGUGCACGUGUAGACGUUAAAAUGUUCAUGGUUAAGGUUUUCACUUUAAUGAAGGUAUACUUCAGUUCUCAGUCUUUCUUCUUUUAAAUCACUGCACGGCUCAUCUUUUUGAUUUGGGAAAGCUCUUUCAAUGCGAACCAGAAUUGGAUGCUUUCCUUGAGUUUGAUUCUCUGUUUGGGUUGAAAAACCUAUCGACCCCAGGAAGAGUAGCACAACAAUUGGGGAAAGGUAUUUUUUUUAUUUCAGUUUCAGUACCCUCUUUUACUUCUCUUCCUCCUCACUCAUGUUCCGUCUCCUUUUAUUAGAACAGGAUUUGAAGGCCGCGGCCUUACCGCUCCUCAAAAGAUUUGGUUCUGUCUUGCUUCCGUUGGUGGUCAGUACAUACAACGAACCCAAGGCAUCUAUAAAGCUGCUUCUUUCCUUAGCCUUUUGUCAUAUCUUUAUGCAUGGACUUGUUCAUCUUGUCUACGUAUCCUGAAAAAUCAUACAUUCCUGCCAGUAAACGUCUCAUAACCAUUGAACUCUGAUGAAAUGCUUCUAAGAUUAAGCUAUAUUGGUUUCUAAUUGCUAAGACCUUGACAGUGCAUGUGGCUUUUGAGUUCAGAGUGUAGUUGUGAAACGAGAACCCAUGUUGGGCUCAAUUGAUGAGGCUGUGAAGUUGCUUGUUAGUUGUUAGCAAUGCACGUGUUGAUCUAUGGGUUAAAUAGCGAAAUGUCUUACUGUUCUCUGAUGUCCCAAAUAACCUGUCACUGUUAAGAGCUAGGUUUGUCUAUAGGAGCCUGUCAGCUUCGACUACAUGAAUCGCCAUAUAUUCUUAAUUAGCAAAGCAUAUUGAUCCAUAGAGAUACAUUGUUUAUAACAAGAAGACCAUCAUCUUCCGACAAUGUUUUCUUUCACAAACAGAAAUAUAUUUGGAUUAUCUUGCAUGUUUUAGACCAAAAAAGCUUUGAAAAAUGCCAAAUCAGAAGCAUUAUUACGAGCAAUAGAUAUUCAGCAACGUACAACACAAGCAUUGCAAUAAAAUAGUAGGUUUUCUUGAAAAACAUAUAGUUGUAUCAGCCAUAGAUUGAGUGAAACCAUCAGCUAAGAUUACAGAGGUGAAAUUCUGGAUCCAUUGUCUAGAGGCUUACUGUAAAUCAUAUAUGAUCAAUUACGGAAACAAUAUUCAUCAUCUGAAAGUAGGGAAUCAGGGGGUAUUGGAAGUGAUGUGGUCUGGAAUAAACUAUAAUGUCAUCAUUUUGUUAGAAAGACAGAGCCAACAUGAAGGUCCAUUUUUAUAAACUAACAGACUUAGACUACCAUAUAAGCUUCAAACAUACAGAUGAAAAAUCUUAAUAAAUAAGUGAUGUGCUUUUACAUCGUUGAAAACAGAAAGAAAAAAAAACAAAGCAAUAGUGAAAGUGUGAUAUACAAAGACGCUUUCAUGGUGAAUCAGCAAAGCGAUAGUGAAAGAGUGAUAUACAAAUAUAGACUAUUUCAUGUUGAAUCAGAUACAAGAGUAAUUUGAGCCCAACGACUACUGGAUGUAGACUUUAACUUAAUAGAAAGAGGGUAACAAGAAACUAUUGCUAGAUGGAAAAAAGAUGUAAGUAAUGAUUAUCAUAUGGCAACGAUUGGAUAAGAGAGAUUAGCUCCGACUCAGAACAAACGAAAACCCUAAGCAAUGCUCAUCAUAUCGCAUUCCGGAGAGAGAGAGUGAGCGACAACCGAUGUUAGGCGGAGAGAGAGAAAUCACCGAUUUGAAGAAAUUUCCUGCGUUUUUUCCACAGGCGAACUACUAGAUUGGUGAAAGGUUAGUGAUGUCAAUGGUUGAUAUUUAGGAAAUAACAAGUAGGCGAUCAUGUCUUUAAGAUUCUCUAUUUUUUUACCGUUAAAAGAGUAUCUAUACUAUUAUUUGCGAAGUAAAUUUUCGCAACAAAGCUAUCACGUUAAAAGUUAGCACGGUUAAUAUCGUUUAUAACCUUAAUGAAUAAAUUAAAUAAAUUAGAUAAAAUAAAAAACGAAUUUAGUGUUUAUUUGAUUAGAUAAGUGCUUACAAUUAAUAAUAGUAAGAAUUAUCCAAAAUUUAAAAAUAAAUUUAAAAUAAAAAGAUAAUUCCUACAUAUAUUGUGUUGUUAUCUUACAAAAAACAGAAAAUACAUAAUUAAAUAUUAAGUAAGAUUAUUAAUUCUACGUAAUUGAAAGAGAAUAUCAAGUGAUCUCUAAGAUUUAUAUAUUAUUUAUUAAUAAUGAAUAUAGUGUACAAAAGUUUUUUAAAAAUUUGUAAUACAUACGAAUUUUCAAUGAAAACAUAAAUAAUAAUUUUAAACUAUUAUUUACGAAGUAAAUGUUCGCAACAAAACUCUCACGUUAAAAGUUAGCACGGUUAAUAUCUUUUUCGCAACGAAGUUCUCACGUUAAAAGUUAGCACGGUUAAUUUAGUUUAUACCCUUAAUGAAUAAAUUAAAUAUAUUAGAUAAAAUAAAAAACGAAUUUAGUGUUUAUUUGAUUAGAUAAGUGCUUACAAUUAAUAAAAAUAAAAAUUAUCCAUAAUUUAAAAAUAUAUUUAAAAGAAAAAGAAAAUUCCUAUAUAUAUAUUAUGUUGUUAUCUUAAAAAAAAACAGAAAAUACAUAAUUAAAUAUUAAGUAAAAUUAUUAAUCUAUACUAUUAUUUGCGAAGUAAAUUUUCGCAACGAAGCUCUCACGUUAAAAGUUAGCACGGUUAAUAUCUUUUUCGCAACAAAGCUCUCACGUUAAAAGUUAGCACGGUUAAUUUCGUUUAUAUCUUUAAUGAAUAAAUUAAAUAUAUUAGAUAAAAUAAAAAAAUGAAUUUAGUGUUUAUUUGAUUAGAUAAGUGCUUACAAUUAAUAAAAAUAAAAAUUAUCCAUAAUUUAAAAAUAUAUUAAAAGAAAAAGAUAAUUCCUAUAUAUAUUAUGUUGUUAUCUUUAAAAAAAAAACAGAAAAUACAUAAUUAAAUAUUAAGUAAAAUUAUUAAUUCUAUA